rnacentral:rRNA from 1 species
UACGUAGGGUCCGAGCGUUUGUCCGGAAUUAUUGGGCGUAAAGGGCUCGUAGGCGGUUUGUCGCGUCGGGAGUGAAAACUCAGGGCUCAACCCUGAGCGUGCUUCCGAUACGGGCAGACUAGAGGUAUGCAGGGGAGAACGGAAUUCCUGGUGUAGCGGUGGAAUGCGCAGAUAUCAGGAGGAACACCGGUGGCGAAGGCGGUCUCUGGGCAUGACCUGACGCUGAGGAGCGAAAGCAUGGGGAGCGAACAGG